UACAGAGGGUGCAAGCGUUAAUCGGAAUUACUGGGCGUAAAGCGUGCGUAGACGGUCAUGUAAGUCGGGUGUGAAAGCCCCGGGCUCAACCUGGGAAUUGCAUUCGAGACUGCAUGGCUAGGAUGCGGAAGAGGGAAGCGGAAUUUCCGGUGUAGCGGUGAAAUGCGCAGAUAUCAGGAAGAACACCGGUGGCGAAGGCGGCUCUCUGGGCCGUAACUGACGCUGAGGAGCGAAAGCAUGGGGAGCGAACAGG
rnacentral:rRNA from 1 species